UACGUAGGGGGCAAGCGUUGUCCGGAUUUAUUGGGCGUAAAGCGCACGCAGGCGGUCUCUUAAGUUUUGAGUGACAGGUGGGAGCUUAACUCCUGCAGGCCUUGGAAAACUGGGAGACUUGAGGACGAGAGAGGGAUGCGGAAUUCCGGGUGUAGCGGUGGAAUGCGUAGAGAUCCGGAAGAACACCGGAGGCGAAGGCGGCUUGCUGGGCAUUGUCUGACGCUGAGGCGCGAAAGCGUGGGGAGCGAACAGG
rnacentral:rRNA from 1 species